rnacentral:rRNA from 1 species
AGUGAACGCUGGCGGUAGGCCUAACACAUGCAAGUCGAACGGCAGCACAGUAAGAGCUUGCUCUUACGGGUGGCGAGUGGCGGACGGGUGAGGAAUACAUCGGAAUCUACUUUUUCGUGGGGGAUAACGUAGGGAAACUUACGCUAAUACCGCAUACGACCUACGGGUGAAAGCAGGGGUUCUUCGGACCUUGCGCGAUUGAAUGAGCCAAUGUCGGAUUAGCUAGUUGGCGGGGUAAAGGCCCACCAAGGCGACGAUCCGUAGCUGGUCGGAGAGGAUGAUCAGACACACUGGAACUGAGACACGGUCCAGACUCCUAAGGGAGGCAGCAGUGGGGAAUAUUGGACAAUGGGCGCAAGCCUGAUCCAGCCAUACCGCGUGAGUGAAGAAGGACUUCGGGUUGUAAAGCCCUUUUGUUGGGAAAGAAAAGCAGCAGGUUAAUACCCCGCUGCUCUGACGGUACCCAAAGAAUAAGCACCGGCUAACUUCGUG